CCUCCAGCGCCUCCUCUGUUCCUCUAUCCCUAACCCUAACCCAGGCGACGGCGCCGUUGCCCGCGGCCCUCCCUUCACCGACGGCGCCAUCUCGUCCGAGUCCGAGCUGGAGGAGCACGUGUACGUCGGGGAGGCAGCAAGGCCAGCACGCCGUCGGUCCGUCCUUCCCUGGUUCCUCACCGAGCGCCACGCAGAGGAAAAGAUAAUGGUGAAGGAGAAGGGGAAUGAGAAGGGAAAGGGUGAUGGUAAGGAGAAUGCGAAGGCGAAGACAAAGGAGAAGAGCGUGAAUUACUUAAUUAGGCAAGAUUCAGCGCUGCCUCCGCCGGUUCCGAGGAAGAAGAGGAAGCCUAAGGUGCAGAUUAAGAAGGCAAAAGACUUUCCCAAUGCCCCAACGGGAGAGUUGAUUUGUGCCAUCUUUCGUGUCAAAAUCAGUUUGUGGAUGUCCAAAAAACAAAGGAAAUGCUGUCCAAAUUUAGUUAUUCUUGCUGUCCAAAUUUAGUCCAGUGCUUGCUGUCCAAUUAGUUGUUUGUGGUUGUCAUAUUCAUGCUGUUUUGGUC
rnacentral:rRNA from 1 species